UAUUUUGUGUAUUUAUAUUGUAUAUAUAUAUUUGUUGUGAAUGAGAAUGAGAGGUAGUAUGAAUUUAAUUAGUUUAGAGAUAAAGUUUUUAAAAUAAUGGUAGUGUGUUUAUAUAAUUGAUUAUAUAUGUAUAUAUAUUUAUAUGUUAUUUUUAAAAAAAUUAACUAUGGAAAUUAGUAACUAGCUAAUAACUUGCUAUUUUGUUUAAUAACUAGUAAGUAAUUUAAUAAUUAAAAUUUUAAAUUGGUUGUAUAUUGCAUUAUGUUAUAGGUUGUGUGCUAAUAUUUGAGGGUCGACAUAUUUCGGUGUUGAUCGGAUUUGCAAUAGGAUUUUAUCGGAAGUGACUUUAUCGGAAGUCAAGUACAUAAUUUUUGGUAUAAGGUAUGUUUUCUUUAACUUACUUUUAUAAGAAUAUUUUUUAUACAUAUUUAGAUAAUCCUUAAAUACUUAGA